rnacentral:rRNA from 1 species
GGAUUACAGCCUGNAACCCGGCUGUAUGAAGCUGGAAUCGCUAGUGAUCGCAGAUCAGAAUGCUGCGGUGAAUACGUUCCCGGGUCUUGUACACACCGCCCGUCGCACCAUGGGAGCCAGGAAUGCCCGAAGCCAGUGGCCUAACCGCAAGGGAGGAGCUGUCGAAGGCAGGCCCGGUAACUGGGGUGAAGUCGUAACAAGGUACC